UCUUUCUUUCUUUUUUCCUUUCUUUCUCUUUUCAUUUUUUUUUUUUUUUGAGACAGAGUUUCACUCUUGUUACCCAGGCUGGAGUGCAAUGGUGCGAUCUCGGCUCACCUCAACCUCUGCCUCCUGGGUUCAGGCAAUUCUCCUGCCUCAGCCUUGUGAGUAGCUGGGAUUACAAGCAUGCGCCACCAUGCCCAGCUAAUUUUUUGUAUUUUUAGUAGAGACGGGGUUUCACCAUGUUGACCAGGAUGGUCUUGAUCUGUUGACCUCGUGAUCCACCUGCCUCGGCCUCCCAAAGUGCUGGGAUUAUAGGCUUGAGCCACCGCGCCCCGCCUCUUUCUUUCUUUCUCUUCUUUCUCUCUGUCUUUCUUUCUUUUUCUUCUCUCUCUUUAUUUUUUAGAUGGAGUUUCCCCUCUGUCGCCCAAGCUGGUGAGCAGUGGCAUGAUCUCAGCUCACUGCAACCUCCCCCUUCCAGGUUCAAGCAAUUCUCCUGCCUCAGCCUCCCCAGUAACUGGGAUUACAGGAGUGUGCCACCACGCCUGGCUAAUUUUUGUAUUUUUAGUAGAGAUGGGGUUUCAUUAUGUUGGUUAGACUGGUCUUGAACUUCUGACCUCAAGUGAUUCAUCUGCCUCAGCCUCCCAAAGUGCUGAGAUUACAGGCAUGAGCCACCACGCUGGGCCUGCUUCCUGCUUUCUGAUGCAGUCACUCCCUGCACUUCCAGCCACAUCUCUCCUUGCUGAUCCUACCAAAGGCCACUCCUCUCUGUUCCCCAGAGGUGCCCUGGGCCCCACUUCCUGGCUGUUCUUCCUGCUGCCUCCCCCAUCUGGAACGCUCUUCCCUCCUGACGACCUACCACCCAUGUCCCCACAUGGCUGCCUGUUGAAACACCACGUACAUGGAAAGGCCUGAUCACAAGAGACCUUCCCCUGAACCCUGCCCACGUCCUGGAGCUGCCCUCCUCUGCUCCAGGAGGAAGUGGAAAGAGUGUGGAGGUGCAGCCAGGCAGAUGGGUUUGCGCCCGGCCCCACACUGCCUGGCUGUGUGGCCUGGGGCCAGUCUCCUCACCUCUCUGAGCCUGUCUCCUCAUCUGUGAUGGAGGUGACCCCCACUGACUUGAUGGUCGUCUGACCCUCAGUAAGGUGCUCAAUCAGUGUGAAGCUGGUUAUUCCCUAGGGGACGGUCUUUUGUUUAUUGUUGGCUUGCAAACUCUCUGACUAGGAAAUAAACUCCUAAAAGUGAAGACCCUUUGUUCCUCUUUCUUAAUCUGCUCAGUGAUGCCUAUGAAGCAUCUCACCUGCAGAGGUGCUGGGCACCGGGGUGACACCCACAGCCCCACCCCUGCCCUGCAAAGCUCAAAUGUCUGCUUCCUUCAUGAUGGGGUGGGCCCAAUCUAACUGGGAUUCUCAACUCAAUGCUGCAUCCAAAGAAGUUGUCUACUAACCAACAAUCAUUUCAAGAGCAAUUCCUGUUUUACUGCAAUUUCUUGAAGAAAAACAAAGCGGAUACAAUUUGUGUCCCCAGAACACUUGCUGAUGGGCUCAUUCCUCACCAUCAAGGAACUGCAGACCCUUUCGCAAGCUGAAGCUCCCACAGCUCCCCAGACAAGCUUGCGGAGCUGUUCUGUCUGUCUCCUGUGUCCGUCACCUCCUCCCAUCUUCAUUAUAUGGAAAGAUAGCUUAGUCUUUCUGGUUCCUCCUUUCUUCCCCUCUCCAUUGCCCAUUCUCCUGAUGUGGCAUCAUGUGCACACAUGCACACACACAUCAGAAACCAUCUUGCAAAGACAAUAUUCUCAUUUAGAAGGCUGGGGAAGGGGAGGAGCUGAGUGGGGAAAGAUAGCAUUCUUGUGUAUGUGUGUAUGCGUAAAUGGUUGAAAUACGUGCAGGAUAAUAAAUCAGUUCCUGCCAUGGCAGGUUAUCAGUAAGCGCCUAGGAAAGUCCCUGCAGCCCUGAGAUGCUGUGAUUCUAUGAAUUUUAAGAUGUCAGAGCUCAAGGGGAUGGGAUGAGUAAAAAGCCAUCACUCCACGAAUGCUCCCUAGAUACUACCAAGUGUGCAGGCCUUGGGCCACUGGAGGAGAGUCUCAGGUGUGCCAGGGUUGCUUCUUAUCAGAGGAGCCAGGGACUGGGAGGGGGGCCGUCAGCAUCUCUGAGACUCUUAUUCCUAUAGCCCUCCUCCCGGCCCCUCUGCUACUGGGCACCAUGUUUCUUGAAUCUUCCCUGGGACCUUGGAGGGCUGCAGCCAAAUCGGUGGCAUAGACUUGCUGGUGAAUUUGCAGCCCAUGGAGGAGGGAUGAACUGAAGAAAUGAUUGCCUACAUCAUUCAUUCAUCACAAUUGGAGCAAGUGCCAGGCAAGAGGUGGCUCUGAUGCUUUGAAAGAGGACCAGUAAUACAGAGACUUGACUUGCUCCAGGGAGAUAAGGAAGAGCUACGGGGACCAGGAGAGUAAUCUAGGCAGAGAAGGGCACGUGUAAAGGCCCUGCAGUGGGCGGGAGCCUGGUGCAUUCUGGGAGACUGAGAGAAGGCCCCAGAUGCUGAAGGCAAAGGCUGAGGGAGGGGGAGGAGUCAGGAUGAAGGCUCCUGGGGGAGCUUCCUACCCUGGCCCCGAAGCUGUUAUCCCUUCACCAACCACGUGCCUCAAGGGCUCUCUCUGUGCCCUGAGGAUGGGGGCAUGAGUGACAAAGACCUGGCUGACUCGGCUGACCAAGCUCCCCCACAGAGCCUCUCAGUCUGUUCUUGGCCCAUGCUCCUGACGUUCUGCUGACCCUGAAGGGCCCUGGUCUGAGAGAGGCUGGAGGUGCCCUCACCUGGAAGUAGGAAGGAUGAUUGCCACCUUCUCCAACCUUACCUCCUUAAAGGGCCCUGCUCUCUCUGGAGCACAUCAGUGAACUCACACUCAGGCAGAGCGUGCCCCUCUCAUGCAGUGCCAUCAAAUGCUCCCCCAUGGGCAGGACAGGAACCUUGGUGGGUGCUGCAGGAGGAGGGAGUGCUGUGCUAGUGAGGACUCUACCUCGCUCUCUGCCUCUCAGUCAGACAAGACAGGAAAUGCCACCUUGACUCCCCCACUCCUAAUCAUGUAACGGAGAGGUGACUGAUGUUGCCUGAGGCUCUGGCCCUCUGGACCAAGCACAAUGUCUGCACACAGUGGGCGUUUUGGCCAUAUUUGACAUUUGGGGGGCCCAGGGCAAGAGCACAAAUGGACACCUGCGUUUCCAAAUAUUUAAAAUGAUAAACCAAAUCAGCAAACUGGUGAAUAAAGGAUGCCCUACGCUCCUCCUCUAACAUAUGCAACUUUAUAACAACCUAGGAGGCCAGUUUUGAGUUUAAAGUUCUCAGGCCCCUGAGUUCCCACCCUAGAUGUGGAAUGUGGAGGUGCAGGGAGAACCGACCUUGGCCCCUCCUUGGCCCGCCCCCUUCUCUUCCUACCUCGGGUCCCUCCCACAUCUCAAGGGGCCUGACACGCAUGUGGACUCCAGCGCACAUGUUCAAACUCCUUCCGCACCAGCCCAUCCCCCAGCGCAGGCCACCCUCAGGAGGAAGGGCCCAGUGACAAGGCCUGCUUGGGAAGUCGGCUUUUAGAUACCUGGGCAGGGAAUGCUACAGUCCCAGUUACCCAAACUAUUGUCUAAAUUGGGGGUUAGUUUCCAAAGGUCAUAUCCUUUUGGCCACACAGAUUCCUCAUCCUACGAGGAGAGGCAUGGCCAGAGGAGGAACAGAGCAGAGACCUUAAAUUCUGGGACCCAGGGCAAGGAUCCAUCUUGCCCAGGUCUGAGGAUGAUGUGAAAUCAGCUCUGCUCCACUUGCUAGGCUAUCUGCUCACCUCUGCAAUGGGAUGGACCCAAGAGGCUGAACCAAGCCAUUAGGGAGAGUGAGACUCACAGAUCCCAUGCCAAGGCCAUGGACCAGAGACAAGACCCAAGUUAGGGCAUGGAGGCCCAAGGAUAGAGUUGGACAGAGACAGGGCCUGGGCUCCAGAGAGCUGGACAGGUAACAUACAGGUAGGAUUUUACCUGCCUGCCUUACAGAGCUUGACGGGCCAGCCAGACUUCCACCAUUUCACUCAUGGAAGCCAUGAGCACGAAUCAGGAGCAGGUAAUUACAGACUGAGCUACAGGAAAACAAUUCAACCCCUACCUUGAUAGCCCCAUACCCUUGCCUGGAUUUACCCACUCACACUCAACCCUAUUCCACACCACAAUGAAUGCUUUUUCCAACAGCCAUGUCUUUCUAGGAGUUCAUGAAUUUUCUGGAUUAAUCUCCCAUAGCAAAUAUUUUAUAAGAAGGAGUAAAGUGCCACAGACUGGAUGGCUGAAGCAACAGAAACUAAUUUUCUCACAGCUCUAGAGGUUGCAAAUCCCAGAUUGGGGUACCAGCAGUGUUGGUUUCUAGUGAGGGCUCUCUUCCUGGCUUGUAGAUGGUUGCUUUCUUGCUAUAUUCUCACACCGCGGAGACUGAGAAAGAGGGUGAGAGAGAGUGAGAGUGUGACCGAAGGAGAGCAUACACAAGCUCCCUGGAGUCUCUUCUUAUAAGGGCACUAACUCCAUCAUGAGGCCCCACCCUCAUGACCUCAUCUAAAUCUAAUUACCUCCCAAAGCGUCAUCUCCAAAUACCAUUGCAUUAAUGGUUAGGGCUGCAACAUAAGAAUUUUUGGAGGCAUGCAAUUCAGUCCAUAGCAAUGAAUGAGGGCUGCUCUCAUUCAGAAGAAGAGAAAGGAAACAGGUAACAGGUGGUGGAGUGAAAACUGCUUUGAACAUAAUGUGGCUCAAAAGGAGGAGCCAUGUUUUCCCAGGUAGUUGUUGUUAAUAAUUCUCCCACACGUGGGGACAGCUUGUUUGUUCAUUGUUAGAAAUAAGAGCUCAGAGUUGUAAAGAAAACGAGCACUUGGACAAAAGAUUUCUUAGUAAGGCAAAUUUACUUCUGCAGAAGAGUACUGUUUGCACUCCUGGUCAUGGUGAGAACACACCAAACAAAGGAGGGAAGGGGUUUUUAUCCCGAAUGCAGGCAGUCCCUGCUACUGUGUCCAGUCCCCAUUGGCUGGAGUUGGACUGCACAAUCUAAGCUGAUCCCAAUUGGCUGGCAGGGCUGUGGGCUACAGUGGUCAAAUAAGGAACAGAUGUGGGUUACAGAUUGGGACUAGCGGGAAGGUUGUUUAUUGUAAAAUAGAACCUUUGAAGAGGAACUCACUGUAUCUAAGAUUCAUAAAGAAGAUAUUAUUGUUUUCCAUGACACUUUCAUGUGAAGAGAAAAUUCCAUUUUCAUGUGAACGGAAAAUUCCAUUUUCACAAAAAGCCAGACCUUCCCUAUCAAAGCUGGAUGGGGAAAGAGAGAGGUAUUUAGGGGUUGGAGAAAAAUAGCUGUGGACCCCAUGAAUUCUGGAAGGGACAGCCAGAUGAGUUGUGGGAAUAACAACAACCCCUUCUGUGGGUCCAGACAUCACUGUCUAAAAGUCCCCUUCAGACCCCCCCAGCUUGGGACACCUACUGGCUUUAAUGGAGUGAGUUUUCUGUGCCAGGUCCUGUGCAAGGCACUUUAUGAGGAUUAUCUCCCUGUGUCCUCACCAUAACUCAGAGGGAAGUGCUAUUAUAAUCUCCAUUUGCAGAAGAAGAAACUGAGGCUCAGGGAAGGAGAGGGACUUGCCUUGAGUCACACAGGCAGAGGCAGUGAAGCAGGACACAAUUCCCAGAUGUGGGACUGGGGAGCCCACAAUCCUGAUCCCUGGGGUGUCCUGGCUAGGGGUUGGGGAGGGAGCCUGUCUAUCAGGCGCUGGUUACCUGGUUAAGGUUAUCUCACUGCCCACUGCAGUCCUGGGAGGGGGCAUUCUUGUCCCCAUCCCUGGAUCAGAGCAGUGAGGUCACUGGCCACCUGGGACCAUAAAUUGGUGUGCAUGGAGCAGGGUCCAACUCCUUCUACUCGCUCCAUACCCAGGGGCUCUUCCCUAAAGAGUCUGGCCCCCGAGACACAGCAUUUCCUGGGCACCUUGCCCCUCCCUCCCUCCUGUGCCCACCAGCGCUCAGGCUCCCACUCCUCACCCUGGUGCUGCUGCCCAGCCCCCUCCUGGGCUUGCUCUGCUUCCAGGCCUCCUGCUGGGCUCAUCCUCCACCACUGCAGCAUCUCUGCCUGUUCUGAGAGGGGUUCCUGCUGCUGGGCUGAUGGGAGAGGGGCCGGCUCAGUCCUAUUGAGCUUUAACUGGUGCCUCCGGAGACAGAGCGCUCAGCUGCAGUGGCCACACACAGCUUCUUCAGAAUUGAACCUGGGCUACCAUGUUGUCCAGAGGUGCGAUGCCCUGGUCAGGGAAGAGGUGGUGGGAGAGAAAGAGUCCUUCAUUCUUCCUGGGCUGCUUGGGAUGUGUCCAGCUCAAUCCCUGACUUGCUGUGUGGCUGUCUGUCAGCUAUUGCCAUCGUAAUGCUGUUUAACACUGCCUCCGGGAGAGUAGCUGACUGCAGUAGGCAUUAAUUUUUCCUGCUCAGGGGUGUGGGGAUUGACCAGGGCAGCUCAGUUUCAGGUUCAUCUUGCGGCGGGGGCUGGCUCUGGGCUGGGCCAGGCUUAGUUCUACUCCAUGUGACGCUCAUCCUCUGUGGGUCAGCAGUUCCCGAGGUCGUGUUCUUAUUGAAAAUGGCACCAGACCAAGAGAGUGAGCAGAACCACAGGAUGCUUCUUCAGGACUUGGCUCAGAAUUGGCAACUGUUACCUCCACUCACAUUCUCUUGGCCCGAAGAAGUCACAUAACCAAGCUCUUCUACAUCAGUGGGGCGGAUAAAUAGACUCUGCCUCAAGAGGGAGGCCAGUGAAUAUUUGCAGAAAGAAAUCUAAACUAUUGCAGAGACUUGGGUCAGGUCACUGCCCAUCUCUAGCCCUUGGAAUUUCCUACGUAUGGUUAUGGGUUCGGUCAUUUCCAAGACUUUUCUCAUCCCCAAUUCUCUACGAUUCUCCAAACCGGAGUAGUGGAGUUUUAUUACAUUUCUUCCAUCUGGGACUUCCUGGGUUGCCAAGAGGUCACAGAAACCCAAGGUGAGCUGGGGUUGGGGUGGGGGCAUUGCCAUCCAGGGUCCUGUUCCUUUAAGCUGUUAGGCUCCUCACAAACCUGGAACCACGUCCCCGCUCCCCUUUCAAAGUCCUGAGCCUUUUGCUGGGAAUCACCUGCUGUCCUCAAUUCUACCUGCUGCCUGAAACUCCUGCUUGCAGCCAGCAUCUACUCCUGAGCUGAUGCCUUUCCAGCUCCAAAUCCCCUUCAUCUUGGUUAUGACUCUACUUUUUCCCUCAGCCAAGAAAAAAGUCCCAGUCCCUAUCUGAGUCCAAUCCCAGGAUCACUUAUCCCAGGCCCCAACACCAGCUGUUCUCAUUUUGGACUCCAUGAAAAAGGAAAUGAAAACCCGGCCCACAGAGGCUUGGUUCCCAUGGGGAUUUCCUUCCCCUGCCUCAUCAGCCAGACAAGACACCUGCAUAGUGGGUCCUUCAUUCCAUGUGAAUGGAAACCCCAUCCCUGGCAGUUGUGUUCGUGCUUUGGUUGCAAUUAAAUUGCUCUUCCCUGGGCCAGUUUCAACCCCUUCUUUUCCAGCUUCCAGCCUCCCAUUGCUGGGGCUCCUGGCCCUCCCUCCCUAAUGCACCCUUUUGUGUCACUGCAAAUUGCCUUCAGUUCCAGCAAAGCAGGCUGCCAGCUUCCCAUAAAGUCCACAUUUCCUGGCCCUGGAGGAGCGGCUGGCUCUCCACCUUCUUUCCCUCCCUUCCAGCCAGGCACCAAGUCCUCAUUAUCUGAGUCACAAAGGAGGAUCACAAAAGAGCAUCUCAGACAUGACAGGAAGGUCUCCCCUGUGGCCUUAAAUACAACUCUCCAUGAAGGGCAUGAACCAGCCCAGAGGACCCAUCCACCAUGUGCACCCAGAAAGGAGAAGCCACGCGACCAUCAUGAUACUGUAACGUGGAUCAUAACUCAUGAUGAGAGCCCUUCCCAUGGGCUGGGUGCUGAGCUGGGCUCUUUCAGGCACUCUCUCUUAGUCCUCAUCAGAACUCUGCAAAGCGGGUGCUAUGACUAUCCCUACUCUACAAAGUCACUGAGGCUUAGAGAAGCAAUUUCACCGAGGUCAUGCAGCUAGUUAGCGGCAGGGCAGGACCCUCAGGGCUGUCUGAAUACAGGUGUUUCUAAUAUCAUACUCUUGCGUAUGGCGCUGAACCAGUGUGCAAGUAUACCCAUGUGCUCUUCCACCAGUGAGGACCCCAAUAUGAACCACGAAACUACUCUUUUUCUCUCUGAUGAGCACACCCCUGUGUGCAUGGGUGAAAAGCCUUUUUUUUUUGCACACAGGGAGGCCUCCCUAGGUCCCAGUGAUGCCAUCCCUGUGAACACCAUUCCGUGUUCUGGACCCAGCCUGGCAAGACUGCCUAGUGAAGGGCUUAAUGAUGAACCCACUGUUACAUACACCCAUAUGCAUCUUCCAGGAGUACUGGACUCCAGAGACCAGGAUUGAUUGGUGAACCUUUAGCUAAUGAACAUGUUAUCUAAGUGCCACCUCCCUCUGCCGUAAGGGAGACCUCUGAGCCCCAAGGGGAUCCACAAGCCCCUGGUUCUCUUUUUAAUCUGAUUUGCCCUUUUACAAACCCCCUCAGGCCCACUGCCUGGUCGGGGAAGCCAGCCUUCCCCAGCAACAGGGGAAAAUAAUUAACUGCCAUCAUUCUGGCUUAAUCAGCUCCAGCAUGGGGAAAGCAGUUGUAAUGGAAGGAGACUAGGUUUUGGGGAUGUGAAUUAUGUGUUUCCCAUUCUUUAUCAUCCCCUGUUACUGUCUUAUCUUUAUUCAUUCUGGCAAAUUAAAUUAGCACUGCCUUUCCAAUCUUAUUCUCCAGGAGAAAUUAAACAACAGCAGCAAAGAGGGAAUUGGCUAUAAUGGGGCUGUUUGAUAUACUUUGGGUAUCCUGCAUCUCGAAGAAUCCACUGCCCUGGAAAAUACCAGGCUGGAGUGCAUUGGCAUGAUCUCUGCUCACUGCAACCUGCAACCUCCGCCUCCUGAGUUCAACUGAUUCUCCUGCCUUAGCCUCCUGAAUAGCUGGGAUUACAGGUGCCUGCUACCAUGCCAAGCUAAGUUUUGUAUUUUUAGUAGAGACAGGAUUUCACCAUCUUGGCCAAGCUGGUGUUGAACUCCUGACCUCAUGAUCCACUCACCUCGGCUUCCCAAAGUGCUGGGAUUACAGGCGUGAGCCACCACACCCAGCCCUUUGCCUCUUUUUACAGUCUUUGAUUUGUAGUCUAUUUCAUCCAAUCUAAAUAUAGCUAAUCCUGCUCUUUUUUGGUUUCCAGUGGCAUGGAAUAUCUUUUCCCACUCUUUCAUUUGCAGUCUAUGUGUGUCCUUAUAGGUAAAGUGAAUUUUUUUUUCUGAGAUAGAGUCCCAUUCUGUCACCUGGGCUGGAGUACAGUGGUGUGACCUUAGCUCACUGCAACCUCCAUCUCCCUGGUUCAAGCAAUUCUCUUGCAUCAGCCUCCCGAGUAGCUGAGAUUACAGGUGUGCGCCACCAUGCCUGGCUAAUUUUUCUGUAUUUUUAGUAGAGACGGGGUUUCACCAUGUUGGCUGGGCUGGUCUCAAACUCCUGACCUCAGGGGAUCCACCCGCCUUGGCCUCCCAAAAUGCUGGGAUUACAGGUGUGAGCCAAUGUGCCAGGUCUGAAGUGGAUUUUUUUUAAGACAACACAAAGUUGGGUCUUUUUUCUUUAUCCACUUAGCCACUGUAUGCCCUUUAAUUAAAGAACUGAAUUUAUUUACAUUCAGCGUUAUUAUUGAUAAGUAAGUACUUACUACUGCCAUUGUGUUGCUUGUUUUUUAGGUUGUUUUAUAAAUCUUUUCCUUUCUUGUUGUUUUACUUUGUGAUGAAAUUAUUUUCUUUGGUAGUAUGUUUUAAUUCACUGCUUUUUAUUCCUUGCGAAACUAUUAUAGUUUUUUUUGCCUUGUGGUUACCAUGAGGCUUAUAAAAACAUCUAAUAGAUACGACAAGUUAUUUUGAAGAGAUGACUACUUAUCUUGGAUCAUGAAGGAAAGAAUAGAAACAAAGAAAGAAUGGGAAAAAACCUCCACACUUCAACUCCAUCCCCUAAUUUUGACUUGAUAUUGUCCCAGUUUACAUAUUUUUAUAUUGUUAAUAUUUCAACAGGUUGCCACAACUAUUAUUGUUUUUGAUAGAUUUACCUUCUGGGAUUCACCCUAUAGUUACAAGUGGGUUUUAUAACUAAUUUCUACCACAAUUACAGUAUUAGAGUAUUUUGGGUUUCUGUGGACUUAAUUUUACCACUGGGUUUUAUACUUCAAAUGUUUUUUAUUUGAAUGUUAGUUUUAUUUCUUUCAGAUUGAAGAAUUCCCUUUAGCAGUUCUUGUAAAAUGGGUCUGGUGAAUUCCUUCAACUUGUGUUUUUCUGGAAAAGUCUUUAUCUCUUCUUCAUAUUUGAAGGAUAACUUUGCUGGGUAUUAUAUUCUUGGAUGGCAGUUUAUUUUUUUCAUUUAGAACUUUGAAAAUGUCACCCCACUCCCUCCUGGCCUGUAUGGUUUCUGCUGAGAAGUCUGUUGUCAGACAAAUUGGAGCUCCUUUAUAUGUUAUUUGCUUCUUUUCUCUUGCUGCUUUUAGGAUAUCCUCUUUGUCCUUGAUCUUGAGAGUUUGGUUAACAUAUGUCUUGAGGUAGUCAUAUUUGGAUUGAAUCUAUGUGGUGUUCUCUGGUCUCCCUGGAGCUGGAUAUUUAUAUAUUUCUCAAGUUUUGGUAAGUUUUCUGUUAUUAUUUCUUUAAAUAAGCAUUAUACAUCUUGCUCCUGAUCAACUCCCUCUCUUGAAACACCAAUAAUUCUUAGAUUUGGUCUUUUGAGGUAAUUCCAUAUCUUAUAGGUAAUCUUCAUUUUUUUCAUCCUUUUUUGUUUUUUUUCUCCUCUGUGUAUUAUUUUCAAACAAUAUGUCUUCACACUCACUGAUUUUUCUCCUCUCCUUAAUUCAUUUUGCUGUUGAGAGAAUCUAAUGAAUUUUUCAUUUGAGCACAUGUAUUUCUCAGUUCCAAGGUUUCUGUUCAAUUUUUUUGAAGUUUCAAUCUUUUUGUUAAAUUCCUCUGAAAAUUUUGAAAUUGCUUUUAUGUGUUAUCUUGGAGAUCACUGAGUUUUAAAAAAACUGCUAUUUUGAAUUCUUGGUCAGAGAGUUCACAUAUCACUGUUUUAUUAGGGUCAGCCACUGGUUCCUUGCUUUGUAUGUUUGAAUAGGUCAUGGUUUCCUGUUUUGCUUUUGUUUAUUGUGGAUGUAUGUCUAUGUUUUUUCAUUGAAGGAUUAGUUAUUUCUUGCUCUUCUCUGGCUGGCUUGUUUUGGUGGUUAUUAGAUACGCUUGCUCAGAGAGUUCGUACUUUACCUGUUGAUUUUCUUUACUUUUUACCCCAUUUUGUUGCAGCCUCCUUUUUGACACUAGAUGGCAUAUUAAGCUCAUGUUUGCCUUGGUUCUAAACAAUUAGAGUGCUGCCUGUACCAAAUGGAGAAAGCUCCCAAAGGGGGAUACCCCAGUACUUCACGAAGCCUGGCUAGGGGUUCAUGCCCAGGGAGCCUGUAGAAUGAAGCUCCUACAGCAUGUGCUGCUGAAUAGCCACUCUGAUUUGGCAUUUCCUUUGGCCGAGUUACAGAGCAGAGUUUCCAGAAUUGGGGAUGGUAGUCUUGCCUCACUGCUUUGUCUCUGACUGUUUGCAGGGACAUUUCUCCCUCAGGCAUUCCUGAGACUUCUCAUGGAUUGAGGCAGGGACACAUCUUCUGCCAGGAAACCAAAUAUGGUAGGGAAGUUGGUUGUUUACUUCAAUCUCACUUUUUCUGGUGUAGAAAAUGUGAGUCGUGGGGAAAUUUUCCCGGCACUUGGUGCUGGGUAGAUUGGGGAGGGGUGUUAUGGAUAUGGAAGUCCAAUUCUCUUAGCAUCUGCUCAGAGUUUUUCAUUUCUCGUGGCCCUGGGAACUGUCUUCUUUUUAUACUGAGUUUUGGGACAUUGCUGGUGAUAAUCUCAGUGCUGUAUAAUUGUUUCUAGUUUUCUUUGGAGGAUGAGUGAAGCCAGCUUGCUAUGACACUGCCAUUUUGGAACCAGAAGCCUGGAAGAUUUUUUUGAGAUGGAGUCUCUCUCUGUUGCCCAGGCUGGAGUGCAGUGGUGUGAUCUUGGCUCACUGCCACCUCUGCCUCCUGAGUUCAAGUGAUUCUCCUGCCUCAGCCUCCUGAGUGGCUGGGAUUACAGGCCCGUGCCAUCAUGCCCAGCUAGUUUUUGCAUUUUUAGUAGAGAUGGGGUUUCACCAUGUUGGUUAGGCUGGUCUCGAACUUCUGACCUUGUGAUCUGCUCACCUUGGCCUCCUAAAGUGCUGGGAUUACAGGCGUGAACCACCGCACCUGGACUGCCUGGAAGUUGUUUUUUUUUUUUUUUUAAGAUUCGAAGCCAGGGUGCUCUCUGAGGCAACUCCUAGCCCCGUGACCAGAGGACCUUCUGCUCCACAGGUUGCCAAACUUGUUCUGCACAUUCAUCUGUGAGAUUUGUCAAAAAUACAGAUUCCUGGACCACAGAAUAUAACUCUCCAAGCUGGUGGCCUGGAAGUGUGCCUUUCCUCAAAGCUUUCAGAAUGGUGUUGAUUAAGGUAGUCUAUAACUCAGACUUCGGGACUCACUGCUCUAACCCUAGUGUCCCUAACUUAUUUUUUAAGGAGAGGAGGUCCCAGUCAUAUCCAGUGUUCCUCUCCUCUCCUUCCUGGGUACAUGGCAGUCUAUACUUUUCAGCUUCCUCUGCAGUUAGGCAGAUGUUAUGACUAGUUCUGGCUAACUAGUAGACUUAACGUGUGAAACUUCUGAGCCAAAGCAGUGAAAAGCCCCUGCAGGACCUUCCAGCUUUCUUUUAUUCUUUGUUGGAGAACAUGGAGGCGGCAAGUUGACACAGUUGAGACAUAAGAUCAAAGCAACCUGGAUCACUGGGUUAACACAUGGAAGACAGCAGCCUUGGAGAAUCACCUGAUUUGCAGUGCAGUUUAUGAGGGAUAAAGAGAUAGAGAUAAACUCCUAGUCAGAGAUUCGGGACUGUUUGUUACUGUAGCUUAACUCUAGCCUAUCCUGAUUAAUACUGAUCUCUCUUAGAAAGCCUUUAAUCCCAGCUAGUAAGGAGGUUGAGGCAGGAGAAUCACUUGAGCCUGGGAGGCAGAAGCAGCAGUGGGCUCAGAUUGUGCCGUUGCACUCCAGCCUGGGUGACGAGAGCAAGACUCCAUCUCAAAAAAAAAUUUUUUUUUUUUAGGCUACCUUCUUGGGGUUUCUUUUUCUACCUCAGAUCCAGGAAUUUUUAUUAUUAUUAUUAUUUUUUAGAUGGGGUCUUGCCCUCACAGCUCACUGCAGCCUCGACCUUCCGGGGUUAAGUGAUCCUCCCACCUUAGCUUCCUGAGUAACUGGGGCCACAGGUGCACACCACUACACCUGGCUUAUUUUUUUGGUUUAACGUUUUUGUAGAGGCGGGGUCUCACUAUGUUGCCCAGACUAGUCUCAAACUCCUGGGCUCAGACAAUGCUCCCACCUUGGCCUCCUAAAGUGCUGUAAUUACAGGCAUGAGCCACCCCACCUAGCUCAGAUCUAGGAAUUAUUGACUCAAGUCACUGCCGAUUCACACUCUGUGACAUAAUUUAUAAUGAUGGCCCCUUGUCACUGCUCUUUGCCCCUGGUUUCCUUCAUAGGUGGCCUUUGGGAGCUCCAGCUCUCUGCUCCUCCGCUAGUGUACAUCCAAACCCAUCCUAGUGGCUGGUAGAAUGAAGGGCCUCAUUUAUCAGCAUCUACCCUCCUUAGAAGGUAUAUGGGACUAUAAUUAGAGUUAUGUAAUUAGGAAUUAUAUAAAUGCAUUUGUAAUAUUAAGUUUUAUUAAAUUUCAGGGGUUUUGGUCUCUCUGAAUCUUACCCUCUCAUUCAUAAAUUACGGAGUAGUAACUCCAACUCUUACCAGAGGCCAGAAAACUCCCAGAGUCUCAUGGGACAUUUUCCAGGACUUCACACAUGUGUAAUGCUGGAUUUCCAGUCAGAGGUGGAGCCCCACCUUUGAACCCCCAGGCCUGAUGGGGUUCCCUUGCCCCACCCCAGUAGUAUCUACUGUCAAAGCUUAGGCUUGGCAGCCAUCGACACUUGAAGUCAGGAACUGCCAGCUACUUUCCUGCUUGAAGCUCAGUUUCUGGGACUUUGGCUGUUAGACAAACACCAAACUUCUGAAGACCCAGGAUGCCUUCAGUCUGGAUCUCUGCUUUCACCUGCAAGGGGCUGACCUCAAGCUUGGCAAAGGGGAGAAUCCCUGAGUCGCUGAGUUCUGGAUUCAAGAGCUGGAUCAGACACUUGCUAGACGUGUGGGUUUGAACAAGUCACUUAACAUUUCUAGGCCUCAGUUUCCCCAUCCAUGAAAGGAGAACAUUGUAUUAGAUCAACCCUCACACAUCCACACAUCUUCUACUCUAACUGAACUGGGCACAUCUCUACUCUGGAGACGCCUGCCUCCCUGCCUUUGCACUUGCCAUUUCGUCUGCCAGGAGAGCUCCCCACCUUUCCCAUCUCCAUCACUCACUUUUAAAUAUUCCCUGCAUUCUAACACCUGGUUCAAAAGCCAUCAAAGUCUCCUGUGACUCAACUAGACAGACCAAAUAGUCUUCACUUUCUGCCGUUAUCUCCGUAUUUUCCAGACUUUCCCAAUUAGAGAAAGCCAAUGUUUAUUGAACAACUACUAUAUGCCAAAUUUUGGGUAAUGUGCUUCACCAGCAUCCGCUUUUGGUUUUCCCAGCAACCUAUGAGGUAGACAUGACGAUCCCGUUUCACAGAGGUGGUUGUGGAGGCUUUGGGAGAUCAGGUGAGUCAUCACAGUUCGGGAUCAGUAAGGGACAUUUGGGUGGGGGGUCCCCAGUGCAGGGGCCUCAUCCUGUCCCUGAUGGGUAUCCUGUGGGUGCUCGUUGAGGGGCUGUGGGUUGUGCCCACCUCCAGCUGCCCGUGGCUUAGAAAUUAGCAGGUAUAUAACCAAGUGGCUCUGGGCAUGGGUUUGGUGACCAAAUGCUGGGCAGGUCUCUCUCCUUCUGGAGAAGAAACCUGUGCUAGGUGCAGAUGCACCACCCUCCGCCUCUGUGUCGCUAAGGGCACGCAGGUGGGCAAAAUGCAGAGUGCAUCUUGGCAGUUGGACUUGGGAGAAUUAAAUUCUCCACUAGGGGCUUCCAUUUCAGGCUGCUGUGAGUAGAAUCAGGCGGUAGUGGACGGAGCGGCUGGGGAAGGGAGGAGGGGAAGUUACAAGCUCCAGCUCCAGUGCUCCGGCAUCUGUGGCUUCCCCGCCACCUCUCCCCAUCGAUCUUUCUCUCUGCUUAUUAUUCUCUCCCCUUUGGUCUCACUGUGGCCUUCUCCAUCCUCCCUGGCUCGUUCCUCCAUCCCUCUGCCUGCGUCUGUUGUGACAUGUUUCUCUCUCCUGUCUCUCCCUCCGCCUCUGCCUGUGAGUGUGCCCUGUGAGCGUCCCCUUCUCUCUCUGAGACUGUGCCUCUUUCUCAUUUAUAUACUCUCACGACAGCACUCUCUUCAUGGAUUUGUCUGUAACUGUCUUUGUAUCUUCGUGUACUUUGAUUUUUUUAUCUUUAUCUCCUGCUGGGUAUUUCUUGUUCUGUGUUUUUACUUCCUAGUGUGAAUCUGUUUUUUCUCUUCCUUUCCCCUCUCCUUCUUCUUCCUAGGAAUGAUCUCAUCUCCAUGCCCCCACUUUGCACUGUGUGUGUUUCUCUCUUUCCUUCUGCGUGAGUGUGUGUGCAGGGUGCGUGUGUUGUCUGUGUGUGCAUAAAGGCUUUCUUGACGUCUCUUCUCUGUGUCUCAAUGCAUUGAUGGAAUUUCUCUCCGUCUCUUACCCACUUGCUUCUCCCACUCCAUAGUUGCUGUUGGUACCAACAUGGACAUCUGGGAGACUCAGACAGGAGGGCCUUGAGUUCAAAGGAAGGAGGAAUCAGCUUCUGGGCAGGCAGGCAGCUCUCAGCUGGGAUCAGGAAGGAAGAAACAUGUUACAAAUCCAAGGUGGGGGGGCCUUGAGUCACCUCAUCUGGGGCAGCAGGAAAAACACUGGAAUCCAAGCCAGAGAAUCAGAGCAGGAGCCCACUUCUUCCAUGUCCUGUGUGACCUUGGGCAAGUCACUGAACCUCUCUGACCUCAGUUUCCUAAUUAAUAAAAUAGCGCUGUUGUAAAGACUAAGCAAGUUCAUCACUGUAGAACUGGAAGCCCAGUACAUGGCUCAGGGAGUGCAAUGAAGAGAUGGACGAGUCCAGACUCACAGGCUGUCCCCGCAUGGACAAAGGCCCACAGGGGGACGCUGAAUGGAGGAAUUGCUGGAGGUCAAGGAAGGAGCCGAGGAGGCAUCCUGGAGGCAGGUGCAGAGGACAGGCUGUGGGGACAUGAGACAGUGGGUUGGGGUCAUGGGGGCAGCAGAAAGUUGAUGCUGGUGCCUCCCUCUUUAGCCCAGACUCCCUCUCCCACAGCCCAGGUAUUCCUAGUCCCUCUCUCCAGGGAGGGCCACCACAGGGGCUCCUCUACCUCAGAGGUAGAGAGCUGGGGACAAGGCCUGCCAGGGCUGGCAGAGUGGCCAGGGCCCUGGACUCCAACCUGUAAUUAUGGGGAAUCAGAGCUUGUGCUGGAGAUGCCUAGCUGGGUUUGUCUUUCUGCCCUUGCCCACUGCCUGGGGCUGGGACAGACGUGCUUACUCACUUAGCAAUUGCUUACUGAGCCUUCAUUUGUGCCAAGGGUGCAAUGCAACAGAGGGUUCACUCUAGUGGGGGAGACAGAGACAAUUCAAGCAUCCGCAAGAUGUGAAGAUGACCACAUGUGAUGAUGAAGAGUAUGAGGUGUGAUGAGCACAUAGGAUCCAGGGUCUGACCUCACCUGGAGGUCGAGACGGGCUUUGGAGGAGAUGAUGUUGGAGCCAAGAACCCAAAGGCUCAAGUAAAUAGGGUAGGGAAGAUAACUCUGUUCUAGUUAUUUAUUGCUGCAUAACAAGCUACUGUAAAAUUUAGUGGCUUAAAACAACCAUUUUAUUUUGCUCACCAUGUGGUGGGCCAGGAAUUUGAGAAAAGCUUAGUUGGCCACUUGGUGUCAGCCAGGAGCAAUGCUAGGACUGGAGGGUCCCUUCCAAGAUGGCGUCUUCACCGUUUGGCAUUUUGGUGCAUCUUGGCUCUUUCUUCAUAUAGCAUCUUCUCCUCCAGAACCUUCUGCAUGCCUUGAUGAUAGCAUCGUGACAGAUGGAGCCCUUACAUGGAGGCACAGGGCCACAAGAGACUGAAACUAAAAAUAAAAUCCCAAGCCUGCAGUCAACUAAAGGGACCCCCUGCUGGCCCAGGGGACCCCAGAAAAACCUUACAAAUAGAGUUCCCAGCCUUGACAGGAUAGGAAGUCUGACAUGCCUAGUUAUACCUGCUUCCUUUUGCAGUUAAACAUAACAGCUAGGCCGGGCGUGGUGGCUCAAGCCUGUAAUCCCAGCACUUUGGGAGGCCGAGACGGGUGGAUCACGAGGUCAAGAGAUCAAGACCAUCCUGGUCAACAUGGCGAAACCCCGUCUCUACUAAAAAAAAAAAAAAUACAAAAAAUUAGCUAGGCAUGGUGGCGCGUGCCUGUAAUCCCAGCUACUUGGGAGGAUGAGGCAGGAGAAUUGCCUGAACCCAGGAGGCGGAUGUUGCGGUGAGCGGAGAUCGCGCCAUUGCACUCCAGCCUGGGUAACAAGAGCGAAACUCCGUUUCAAAAAAAAAAAAACUUAACAGCUGACCAGCAUUAAUGUUAAAAUAGUGAUAAUAAGACUGACAGAAUGGAUUCUUCAUGGCAAUAAGAUACCAAAUUAUAAACAGGACCUAAGGCCAUGCCAGGCAAGGGUUAAGUCCCACACCCCUACACUUACGAAUUGCCACAGGUUUUCUUUUUUCUCUAUCAGCCAAACAAGCACUGACCUUCAGAUAAGCAAUGUUAGAGCAGUUACGGCUCACCAACCACCAGACACCACUAACUGACUCCCAGUUCCACAAGCCGUAACUACAGCUUUGAUUGGACAACAGACUGAUUUCAGUAACUUUCUCCUGAUAACAAGACUACCUACCUACCAUGGCCGGUUUACAGAGACUGCACAUUUAAAUGUCUUUGUGACUACCUCUAUGAAUAUUCACAGCUCCUCCCACAAACGGUUGGCCAAUCUCUUCAGCUUAAAUUUCUGUCUUAUCCUGCUGUCCUUUGGAAGGCCUGGUAAUGGCUUUGGUUGGAGGCGAUGCUUCUUAGCUUCUGAAGUGACCACUUUGCAGGCUGUAAUCAUUUAUAAGAAAUAAAGUCUCCUUUCCAAAUUUAUAAAUUGUGAGAUUAAAAAAAAAAUCAGAGACAGGGUCUUGCUCUGUCGCCCAGCUUGGAGUGCAGUGGCAUGUUCAUUACUCACUGCAACCUUGAGUGCCUGAGCUCAAGGAAUCCUCCCACCUCAGCCUCCUGAAUAGCUGGGAGUACAGGCACAUACCACCAUGUCUGGAUAAUUUUACAUUUUUUGGUAGAGAUGGGGUCUCGUUAUGCUGCCCAGGAUGGUCUCAAAACUCCUGGCCUCCCAAAGCAUUGGGAUUAUAAGCAUGAACCAUCAUGCCCACCAUAAACGGUGUGAUUUUUAAGUCCAGUGUGAUUUUUAAAUUAACAAGACCAAGGCAGAAGCUGCCAGACCCCUUGAAGUCUAGACUCAGACCUGGCUUAAUGCCACCUCUACCAUCCUCAGUUGGUCAAAGCAGUCACAGACCAGCUCGCAUUCAGCAGGAGGGGACCUAGUGCCCACUUCCUGACUGAAGGAAUAGCAAAGAAUUCCAUCUUUAAUUCACCGUACUUUCAAAGCAGGGAACAUACUAUAUGUAUACACUGAACAUUUGAAUACACUGUGGUAAGUGCUGUAGACAAGGAAGGUCCAGGGAACUGUUCUGGAAGUCAGGAUGAGAAAAUAGACAGAAUCUUACCCAGUGAGAAUGCAACAGGGCCAGGAGUAAGGUGGGAAAUCAGAGCAGACUUCUUGCAGGAGGAGGCACUCCAGCUAGGUCUGGAAGUUUCACUGGGAUAUGGAGAUGUGAAGAUAAAUGCAAGGAUAUUCUCAGUCUAGGAAACAGUCUGAGCAAAGCACAGGUAAACCUCUGCCAGGGAUCCUGGGGCCAUGGGGGAGCUUGGAUUGCCUUGGCCACCCUUCAGAAGAGAAGUUUGGGAGCCGUGGCUGCACAGGCAGGUUGUGGUUGAUGGGGCAAAGGGGAAGAACCUUGAAUGCCAGGCUAAGUCCUUGCAGUAAGAGCCCCUGGCAGAGGUUGGGGAAGAAAGUCUUGGAGCUGAGAAGGGUUGGAGUCAGUGGCUCCAAGUGUGCAAAAUGGUUAAGAAUGAGGGGGGAAUCUCAGCAGGGACCAGGGGAGGAGGAGGAGGUCAUUUCAUUAAGCAAGGACAGAGAUAAGAUGGGAGCCUGAACUAGGGUGGGGCAGCUGAAAUGCAGAGGAGUGGCAGAGAAUAAUAAUACUACCAGCUAUCAUUGACCGAGAAUUUCUACUGCUCAGGCACUUUAUACAUAAUAAUAUUUAAGUCUUACAGUCACUCUGUAAGGUAGGUACUAUUGUUAUCCACAAUUUGCAGGGAUAUUAAGGCUCAGAGAGGUAAAGAAACUGGUCCAAGAUCACACAGCAAGUGGUAGAGCUGAGAUUCCCGAGACUGAGUCUGCUCCUCUCCAGAGCCUAUGCUUCUGAUCUCUGUUCUGUUAGAGGGAAGAAUAGGCUUGGUAAUUGUUCAUAUAGGAUGUGAAAGUGGGGAGGACAAGAGAGAAAAAGGGACCUGGAGAUGAAAUCACAAUGUCUGCUCUGAUUACGAGAAGGGAGGCUGGACACCUCACAAGACUUGAGGAGCCACAAGUGGUGACUUUGGGUAGGUGGUUUCCUGGGCUGGGGGUAGGUAGAAGUAUCUGGGGAGUUGGUUUGGAUGGGUAGUUACAAGGGGCAUGUGGGUAUAGGUGGGUGUAAAGGAGGGAGGAGGCUCCAAAAGGCAUAUACCAAGGGGAGGGCAUGGCAAUUGGAAGGGGUGGAAUAUACUCUGAGAGCUGGCAGGGAUCAGACAGGUGAGCAGCUUGCCCAAGGUCACACAGUGAGUGAGGAGCAGAGAAGGGCUCCUGACUCCAUCCUGUGCCUUCCAAAGAUAUUAAAAGCACAGGUUUUGGACAGAGCUAUGUUCAAAUCCCAGUUCCAUCACUGAGCUAUUGGGCCAGUUACUCCAUGUAUUAGUCCAUUCUCAUGCUGCUAUAAAGAACUACCUGAGAUUGGGUAAUUUAUAAAGGAAAGAUGUUUCAUUGACUCACAGUUCCACAGGGCUGAGGAGGCCUUAGGAAACUUACAUUCAUGGCAGAAGGGGAAGCAAACAUGUCCUUCUGCACAUGGCAGCAGGAAGGAGAAGUGCUGAGCAAAGUGGGGAAAAGCUCCUUAUAAAAACCUCAGAUCUUGUGAGAACUCACUCACUAUCAUGAGAAUAGCAUCAGGAUAACUGCCCCCAUGAGUCAAUUACCUCCCACCAGGUCCCUCCCACAACACAUGGGGAUUAUGGGAACUACAACUGAAGAUGCAAUUAGGGUGGGGACAGAGCCAAACCAUAUCAUUCUGCCUCUUUGAGUCUCAGUUUCCCAUCUGCAAAAUGGGGGAAAUAUUACCUUCUUCAUAGGAACACAGUGAAAAUUAACUGAGAUAACAUAAAGUGCUUAAACAUCCGGGCACUCUGUCAACAGUUGAUAACAGUUGGCUGCUGUUGUCACUGGUGUCCAUUAUUUCACUGUCAUUAUAGCUUUUUGGCUAGAAAUGUAGACUCUAGACCUAUUGAUCUGAAUUCUAACUGUGUGACCUUGGGCAAGUUGCUGAAGCUUUCUGUGUCUCAGUUUUCUCACCUACAAAAUGGGGAUGAUAUUGAUACCAACUUUCUAGAGUUGUUGGGAAGAGUAAAUGCUUUAACAUAUGUAACAUGCUUAAAUGUCUGACACAUAGUAGGUGCCUGAUAUAAUAUUCCUCACCAAAUAAUCACCAUCCACCUCCUCACCACCAUCUUGAAUCAGUGAGGUGUGGAGUCUCUUUCUCUCUGGUGACCCUUACCCACCCCUGCAUCUCCUCUGAAUGACUAUUGCACCCACCCCCCACCCACUACCACCCAGCCUGGCCCUCAGAGCAAUCCAGUUUUGAUCUGUAAGGAGUGCACAUAGAAGAUGUGACCUGCUGGAGCCCCAGCUGCUGUGCCAGGGAGGAGGGUGGAAGCCUUGAGGCUAGUUCCCUCAGAGGAUUAUCCCUCAGAGGUCAUCCGGGUUACCAGGCUAGUCAGGGCUGAGGGGAAGAACACUAGAACUCCUACUGCAUGCCAGGCACCCCAUAUAAAUGACUACAUUUAUUCUUCACAGUCCUCCAUACAGUAGCUAUUGUAUUCCCACUUCACAGAUGAGAAAACUCAGGCUCAGAGAGCAAAGAACUUGCCCGAGCCCACAGCAUGUCAGCAGCAGGGCUGAAUAUGAGCACAGUGUUGACAGACUUACUGUCUGGCAUCAUUCCCAGCAGGCACAGGUGCUAAAUGGGUAUCUAGGUCUCUGCAAAGGCCCUGUUGGGCUCUGGGUGUCUCCCAGACCCCUCUCCCUUACAGGGAGCUCUUGAGGGUACUGGCAGACUCUGGAUCUGAUGCCAGAGACUAUGAGUGUUUCCUCUCAGAAAAUUACCCCUUGAGGAGUGGGGGGAUUGAGGAGGGUUAACAUUAGGAGAAAUACCUAAUGGUGGUGAUGGGGGGAUGGAUGCAGCAAACCACCAUGGCAUGUGUGCACGUAUGUAACAAGCCUGCAAGAACUUCAUAUGUACCCCAGAGCUUAAAAUUAAAAAAAAGAAAAACAGAAAACACAAAAGAAAGUUUAGUCACAUGGAAAAAUAAUUACCCCUUGAAAGUGGGGAUUAUCUGGCUCCUGUGAGGACUCCCUGAAGAUCUCAGUGGGGCUGAGACCCACCAAGGUUGGAUUACAGACUCAGGAGACCCAGGAUCUCCUUCAGGCUCCCCUGCUCACAAUUUUGAGGCCUGCUGUCUCUGGGCCUCAGUUUCCCUCUCUGUACAAUUAGGGGGCGUAGACCAGAUGAUUGUCAUUUUAACAAUAACAUGAAUAAAGUAUCAGCUGGGACUUACUGGGUAUUGCUGUAGGCUUGCCCAGCAAUGGGAAUUCUACAUGUGUUAUUAUCACACUUCCUUCUAAGGCAUGACCUAUCAUCCCAUUUUACAGAUGAGAAAACUGAUCCCAGAAAGGUUAGGUGACUCAAUUCCAAAAUGUAGCCCAAAGCUUGUACCCUUUGUUUCUACCAGCCCCUUCCCAUUAGGUGAGGGAACCCUUUAUGGCCCCCAAGCAGCAAUCAUUUCCCCUCUGUUCAUAUUCACAGUGCAAGCAGAUCUGUUUUUCUGUUACAGCUGUAACAGUGUGAGGGGGAGGCGAACAGGGAUAUUGAGUUGCCAAGAGCAAGGGGCAGCCAGUUCAGGAGGGACUGGAUAGGCAUCCUCCACCUCUCAUGCUGACUCCCUACCCCGCCCCUCUUCCAACCUGGCUGGCCUCUCCCUGACCCCCAUCUUGCAGGACUUUUAGUAAAUGCCAAUCUUACCUCCUGUCCUGGGGCUUACUCAGCUCAAAAGAUCAAAGAGUGGGAGAUGGUGUCCUGGGCAGAUCUGUCCUGGAAAGUCAAUCGGGGGCAGCAGCCAGAUGUGGAGCCCCCUUUCUGCUGAGGAACUGGGUCUCCUGGAGAGAAAGCACAGGACUCUGUCCUCUCAGCCUUCCAGCUGGGACUGCCACCUCUGGUCAUUCAUCACUGUUAUUUCUGCAGGGAGCGUGGGUGGCUGAGAGAGCCUGCUGUCGGUGGGGCUGGAGGCCAGGUUCUGAUUGGGCCUCACUGUUUGCCACCCGUGGGGCCUUGGGUUGGUCACUGUGCACCUCUGACCUGCUCAUCUGCAAAGUGGGGGCAUCAUGUCUCUGCCAUGUUGGGGCUGUGGCACGAUUCAGUGGGAUAGUAGCCUUGUAAACUGCUUUUCUUAUCACCUGCACGUGACACAUAUCUGCUCAUGGGAUUACCAGCCAUCCAACACACCAAAUGCCUUCCAAUCUUGCAUAGAGAAGAAGCCCCCUCCCAGAUUCCCCAUGGCAACUCAGGGACAGGAAAUCCCUCUGCAGCAGUGACAGGGGCAAGCUCUGAAAGUGGGGGACCCUAUUGUAUCCCCUGGGCCCUGUCUGCUGCCAGUCACUGGGGUGGGGCUCUCCGGGUCUCAGGUUUAUCCUCAGCACAGCCCUGUGAAAUGUGUGUCACCAGCCCUGUUUUACAGAUAAGGAAUCAAAGGCUCAGGGAGGAUCAUGCAGUGACGGGGGGAUUCAGUCAUCACCCAAAAGCUCCUUCCACUGGAGACAUUCUCAGGGCUCCCGGGAACCAGGAGGUGGAGAUAAGUAUCUGGUCUGCCACUUGUGGGGCACUUGCUGUGCUGAAUGCUCUGCUACACCCACCCCAUGGUUACUGGCCCCUCAUGAGCAGCUGAUGACAGGCACUGUUAUCACCCCAUUUUACAGAUGUGGACACUGAGGCUCAAGAGCUUAUGUGGCUUUCCCAGGGCACGGCUGCUCAGUGUUGGAACCAAGACUCGAACUCUGCAUCUGACAGCCCCUCUGAUCCCUGGAGCCCAUAGGCUGGUGGGGGAGCAGCCGGUGAGUCCUGUGGCAGGACUUGAACCUGGGUCUGUUUGGCCCAGACCUGAGGGAUUAGCCCCAGUGAUCCUGGUCUUUAGGAAGUGAGCACUGGGCAGGGCUGGGCAGCCCCAGUGCCUGAGUCCAAGGCCAGGGCCUUUCCUUGGACGGGACUCUCCAGUCACUACAGUCUGGCCUCCCUGGCCACUGCUCCAGUGGAAUCCUGAACAUAGGCUGAGCUCAGGUUGGAGUCCCAUAUGAGCUAGGAAAAGCCUCCAAGCCCCCAGUAGGACUAAUGACCCUCUCCCUGCAGGAUUGCUGUGGGAGUGACGGGAGAUGAACCAUGAGGGUGCCUCCCUUGGCUUACUUCUCAGGUGGAUUAAUGAGCCAUGUCCUGUAGGACUGCAGUGAGGACCAGAUUCUAUGCUGCACAUGGGGAAACUGGCACAGGGCCUGGCACUCCUACAGGGCUUGAAAUAUAUUUAUUCCUCAAAGCAUAGGACAGGAGCCUUUUGUCCUCCUGCCUUGGCCUGGCCCCCAGUCCUGGCCUGGACUCCUGAGAUCCUUGCAGCCUUUUCUCUGCUUUACUCCUGGCUCCGAGAUCCCUUGGGUCUCACUUCUACCUCUGAACACCAGGGUUAUGCGGGGAUCUGGCCUCCUGGGCUGUCCAGAAUGCAGAAGCAAUCCAGGUGGGGUAUAGGGCUGCAGGGUCAUGUGGGAAGCAUGACCUCCACGGCCCUGCAUAGUCUGAUUUCACCCACCCCUCCACCCCAUCCCUGCCCAGCUCCAGCCUGCUCCCUCCCGAUUUCAGUUCCCAGGAUGUGGCGGAGUCUCUCUCCAACUUCAGAUCCUAAGACAUUCCUUGCUGUCUUCGCCCUUCAUGCCUCCCUACUCCCAGGACCUUCUCUGGGCUCCCCCAGCUAUUUGCACCUCUAUCCUAGCACUUAAAACAUUUUGUGUGAUUUCGUGUUUAUUCAUGGUCUCCCUCACUCUGCCGGGGGCAUUUUGCAGGUGGAGAUUGUGGUUUGUUCAUGGCUGUACCCCCAGAAGGCAGCCCAGGGCUUGGCACUCAGUCACAUGAAUGAAUGAAUGAAUGGAUGGAUGGAUGGAUGGAUGGAUG